UGCAUUUGACACUUUCUAAUUGCUAAAGUUUCCAAAUAAUUAAUGGAAUUGGUUUGCCUUCGAAAAAUUAUAUAGUUACAUUAACCAAUAACCACUAAGUGCAAGAUUCAGUCGUAGACAAUAAAUUUACGUCGAAAAAAUAAACAAAAAUCGAAAAUAUCGCAACAAUCGUAGUAUUUAAUUUCGAAUAUUUGAGUGUACUAUCUCUAUGAUUCCUCUGAUUCUUCGUUCCAAUUCUGAAUCAAGAGCCUUGGAGUUUGAUCUUGAAUCUAUGUUUAUUGUCACGAACGAUGAUCUUGUUCUUGGGCUUGGUUGCUUGAACUUAACCUUGAUUUGUUCUUCGUUCAUGAGCUUGAACUUGAUUUUUUCUUCGUUCUUGAGCUUGAACUUGAACUUGUUUGCUUGAAGUUUGAAAUUUUGUACAUAAAUUUGCGGUGUUUGAUCCACGAGCUCCCUCUUGCUUCUUGUUA
rnacentral:lncRNA from 1 species